rnacentral:sRNA from 13 species
GCUGGGCAUGGUGGCGCGUGCCUGUAAUCCCAGCUACUCAGGAGGCUGAGGCAGGAGAAUUGCCUGAACCCGGGAGGCGGAGGUUGCGGUGAGCCGAGAUCCUGCCAUUGCACUCCAGCCUGGGUAACAAGAGUAAAACUCCGUCUCAAAAAAAAAGAGUUUCCUAAAUGUUGGUAGUAUAGAGAAAAGUAUGGAGUAAAUAAUGUUUGUUUUUUUUUUUUUUAAUUGACAUGGAGUCUCACUCUGUCUCCCAAGCUGGAGUGCAGUGGCAAGAUCUUGGCUCACUGCACCCUUCAGCCCCUGGGUUCCAGCAAUUCUCCUGCCUCAG